UAUGUGAUCGUCUCUCGCAUAUCAAUAAGCGGAGGAAAAGAAACUAACAAGGAUUCCCCUAGUAACGGCGAGUGAAGCGGGAAGAGCUCAAAUUUGAAAUCUUAAAGGGUUUCCCUUUACGAAUUGUAGUUUAAAGAAGUGUUUUCUGUUGAGGUUUUGGUAAAAGUUCUUUGGAAUAGGACAUCAUAGAGGGUGAGAAUCCCGUAUUUGACCUUUACUUUCAACUUUGUGAUACACUUUCAAAGAGUCGGAUUGUUUGGGAAUGCAGUCCAAAAUGGGUGGUAAAUUUCAUCUAAAGCUAAAUAUUGGCGAGAGACCGAUAGCGAACAAGUACCGUGAGGGGAAAGAUGAAAAGAACUUCUGAAAAGAGAGUUAAACAGUACGUGAAAUUGUCAAAAGGGAAGCGUUUGACACCAGUGUUGUUUUUCUGAAAAUCAAUUAAAGAACUGUUUAUGCUAAGCUGUUUAGACUUUAUCAGCUAUCUGUUUAGUUUUGAGCUUUUCUUUAAUGCACUUUUCAGUUAACAAGUCAACAUCAAUUUCUUUUGCUGUAAAAAAGCUUGAGGAAGGUGGCUUGAGAUUCGUCUUAAGUGUUUAUAGCCUCUUGCCUAUGCAGUCGGAGAGAUUGAGGUCUGCAGCGUAGAUCCUUCGGGGCUAAAUGCAUUUGUGCUAAGUUAUAGCAUUUUAUAGACAACUUGUUGACUAUGAUUUGUCUUGUAGCUUACUCGCUUAUGUUAUUUUACCUACGCUUAGGAUGUUGAGCGCAUGUCUCUCUCU
rnacentral:rRNA from 1 species